ensembl:lncRNA
AUUUGCUCAGGUCCCCCUUCUGUGGGCCUUUAAUUUAUCUGUUUACAACCGGGACUCCCUCAGUUGAAACAAAAAAUCAAUGAAAAUGUAGUUGGAGAAAAGGCGGGCAAACUACUGAAAAAAAAAAAAUUUGUGAAUGGAAGAAUGUGUUUGUGCGUUCAUUGUUAAAAUAAAGAGCGUGCCGUGACGUCAGCAGCCGCCCGCCAAUGGGAGCAAGUAUAAUAUUUUUAAAUAUCCUCCUCGCGAGCCAAUAGGAGAGGCGGUGGCAAAAACUAGCGCAGGUCCGGGCCAAUGGCGGGGAGGUAUGCUAAUGAGGACUUGGUCAGGCAGGAGCUGAAUGUCAACUAGUCAAAGAUGGAGGCUGGAGCGGGGAGGCCAUGAGCUGCUUUGGGCAAGUCAGGCAACAUCAAAGGGGGUGCAGGGCUGCCUCACACCAGCAUGCCAAAUGCCAGGGAUCUCUAAUGGCAUGGAAUGAAGCUCCCUCCAAUCACCUGUCGCAAGAAACCAUUAUCCAGCUUCCUAACCUUAAGGAUGAGACCCUAUCAAUAUUGCCUCUGCUUUUGUGCUCAGGGUAGUAGUGCAAUAUUGCUUAUAGGGUCUUUUCUUUUGAGGGUAUUCUUCAUGGAGAGAAGACAGCCACAGCAGGAAAAAUUAAUCCUAUGUGCCCAUCGAGUUAAGGGAAAAGUUGUGAAAUACCAAGCAUUGUUAGAUAGGCAAGUAAUUGUGCAGAGAUGUUAUGUGUGACAAAUAAUCAUGCUAUUGUGGUGACUCAAGUUGUGAGUAAUGGGCAUAUUUUUGAUGCUAUCACACGGGAUUCAAAAUGGCCUUGUGUUUAAGAGGCACAAGCAGUGAUUGAAACCGCAGAAACCCAUCACGUCUCCAUUUUAAAACAGUACAAGUCCCGAGAUGUUUGAAGGGUGCCUAUUUUGCAUAACGAUGUAAACACCCACAAGGAAUGGGAGGAGAUAUAUAGCCACACUCGGCUGUUCCUGUGCCUGAAAAUCAGUGCUGCGCAAAGCAGAGCGUUGCACGAAGUGCCUGAGGCUCUAAUCCCGAUAACGUCCUCUAAACAAAGCUCACGCCUCUGCCUGGCGAACGCGGCCGGGCUCCGCAGCCCGGGCUUGGUGCAGGCAUGGCUGGGCUGGGCAUUGCCCCCAGCCUUUCCCGAGAGCUGCUUAUGGAGGUACGUGGGAAAGGAGCAGGGCCGGAGGCGUUCAAUCUCAAUCUCCUCUCGGCUUUGUGAGAAAUCAGCUGGGGGCUGACAGCAGCCGGGCUGGCGGGGUGGGUGGCCUUGCCUUCCAUUUCAGGUGGUCGCCGCGGUCCCUUUCGGGACCUCUGGGGCCCAGGCAGAGGGGUGGUGGGAGGGGAUUGGGGCCGGCUCAGGGUGCGGCGGAGCGGCCGCAGCCGCGGGGCUUUCAUAGCCGCUCUCCGGGCAGCGCGGGGCCGUGUUCUCUCCGCGGUGGUGGGCGCGGGAGGGCGAGAAGCCCUACAGGACCGCUGCCUCCCGCCUGCUCGCCCGACCCCGGCCCUGCCCUCUACGUAACCCCCCGGGCAUCACUCCGAGGGGAGGCGACCAGCUAAGGGACAAAGCCAGGCAAUCCCCCCCCCACCUCAAAGCCCGGGCUCUCCCUCCGUGCCCCAGUCCGGCGGCCAGGGCCACCGGGCGGGCUGCCCCUCUUUCCCUGUUGCACUACUGUCACGGUCGCAGCGAGCAGUGCAAUAAUGAAAGGGCGUCAGUGCGCCGGGGAGCGGCGAGAGCCGGGCCCAGCCGGUGUAACAGCGGCCGGGGAAGAGACGGGCCGUCCCGCCGGGCCCCCAAGAGCCACUCGAGCGGGGCGGGGGUCGCCGCGCUGCUCGCUCUGUCGGAACGCGCAGUGCUAGGAGAGCAGUCCGGCCUUGGCCAUCCGCGUAAAUAAAGUGCCUUCCCACGUUCCCGUCACUGCCUUUUCUUCCGGGCGGGUUUUCUUGCAGGUCUCCAGCCCCUCCUGCCUCCCCAGCGGCGGCCCCUCGACGGGUUUUUGUCGGGUCGUCCAGCGUGCUAAUAGCCCGCUUGUUCUUUGUGGGAAGUGGGUGAAAAUGGAAGAUGAGUGUCUUCCUUAGCCACGCAGCCUAAAAAACAGGCUCGAAGCAUGUCCCUGUGCCGGGUUGAGCAGCGGGGCUGAGGGGAGAAUUGGGUGAGCUGUUUACAGUAAUGGACAUCAGACUGGUGGUGUGGCUGGGAGCUGUGCUGGGAAGGCCAGGAAAUAGUCCUCUGAUUAUUAGUGGCCAUGGUGAAAUGGAUACUUCUAUAAAAGAAGGCUGGGGAGGGCUAUUUCCUUUAGCAAAGGACCUUUCCACUCUGGCCUUUUGAACCUGCACUUCGGGGCCCUGUUCCUGCUUCAUCAUGAGUUUUUGCAGAGGAAGGAGCUGCUGAGUCAAUCACGGAAAAGGGGAGGUGAAAUGGGGGCUGCUCUUUAGCCAUUUUUCAAUUGGUGAAUGAAACAGGAAAGGACAAAUGCAAGAAGAAAAAAAGAGUGAUUACUUCCACUUUGGUGCAUUACUGAGAAAGAGGGACAUCUCUUUGGCUAAAGACUAUAACAAUAAUGGGAAACCACUGUGCUCCUGAGAUCCAGCACCUUGAAUAAAGGACUUGACUGGGCAAGGAGCUGAUGGCAGAUAAAUAACAAUGAAUUAGGGGGAAAGCCUGCAAACGCUGUUUGGCUAAAAGCAAGAGGAAAUCCACCUCUUAGUUUUCACCUGAUUCCAUCUUUAGACAUGUAUCACCAUCUUCCACCACCUCCAUGACCUCACACAUCUUCACCUUUGCUGAGCUUAGCUGAACCCCAUGGCUGAGGCUGUUGUGAAGCCACUGAGAAGGACUGCCCUGACCAUGCCAAAAUAAAAGGACAAAGUACAUUGUGUGUGCAUGCUUUCAAACAGCACAAGCUUGCUUGGCAAUUCACUCUGGGCAGCCCAUGAGAGGACUCUCACUCAGCCCCAGAGCCCUCUAAGCCCAGAAAAUGGAGUUUAAGUCUUUUUCACUUUCUAGAAAACAUGAUCCUAUGGAUCUGGCCUUUUAAAAUAGUAAUCAGAACAGCAAACAGCGUGCCUGGCUUUGGUUGACAGAUACACAACAGAGGCAAAGAAGGCAAACAGCAGGCUUUUCAGUUAGUUUACACAGGGGGCACUUAAAUACUGUAUGGGUUACAUAAUACCAUUUGGGGGUUGGGGUUUUACACAUACUUCUAUUAAAUAUAUCUGUGACAUUUGUUUUAAAGUGAUCAACAUAAAUCCAGCCACAGCUUUAAGAGGAAAACUCUUGUGAUUAGAUCUAAUAACACCAGGUAGCUCAUAAUAUAUUUACUGGAAACGAAUGCACAAUAGAUUUCUGAGCCCCACCCCCCAACUGUUGGAAAACCUUGCGCUCACUCUCCUUCAGUGGAGGGUGUCACUCUGCCUGUAGAAGGGCUGCCAUAGAUAGUCACUUCCCUGCAAGAAGCAAAGGCUGCUGGUUUUUAGGGCCAUAUCCUGCUACUGGUUCCACAUCCAGCCCUCAAGAUUAAUCCAACACAGACCAAAGACACGAUGUGGUCUGGCAAUUACGACAAAGUGCUAAGCAAGAAGGCAAGGCAUACUUUAAUAGUAAUAAUUUAAAAAAUCCUAGAGCCUUCUUAGCUGAAAUUUAUUAGGGGAAAAAAACAAAAAACAAAAACAAACAAAAACCCCCACCAACCACUGUUCAUUGUUAUCUCCUGAGAAUCCCACUCACAUAGGUUUCCUGAAAGCAUAUUCUCUUCCCAAUAAGCCUUCUAGUAAGCAUCCUGUUGCCAUCCAGAGGGAGUAGCAGGUGGCCAAACUGCUCCGCGGAGGCUUGACAAUGGCAUUAGCCACCCAGCUUUUCAGCUGAAGCCUCUCUCAGUCAGCACACAACUCAUCAGACUCCAUCUAAACCCUUCCUCAGAACAGUGAGCUUCCCCAGCAAGGCCUGGAUCUAGUAGCUCCACAUCCUUACAAAGCACCCACUGCACAGAAGUCAGCAGAUGGGAAGAAGUGUCUCCAACUUUCACAGCUUUAGAACCGUGCUCUUCUCUUUAAUGUGCUGUCACCAGAAGCUCCACGGGCAGAGAUCAGUGCCAUAAGGAGCUAGCAGAACAGCAGGUAGGUGACUGAUUGAGAAUGGAAGUUCUUUAUUAGCAAACCAAAACCAUCCGCAUGGCACUGCACAGAAGUAGGUACACUGCGAGAACUCAGUGUCAAACACCAAUUUGGUAGAAAUCCUGCUUGCUUACCUCGGAGGUGGGAGUGCCUUGUAUUGUAAACCUUAGGUCUUUUAAACCUCCUUAGGUCUUGUAAACAUCCUUAGACGCGUGGAAUGAUCAAAUGUCAAUUAUAAUAAUAUACCAGUAAUAAAGCAACUAUUUUAAGGAAUCACCUUGCUACAACGUCAGACCUCUUCUUUGCCUUCUUCAAUCACUUAUCUGCUGUGAAGCAUCACGUUUUCCAGGAGCAAACCUUACCAGCAGUUCAGCCCGUUAAAAUGAGUAGGGAAUUACACUCUGUACAAAAGCCUCCAUCACACUAUGUCAGAGGGGAAACUUUUUUUGUUCCUCCACCAUGAAUUUCCAUCAUUUUCAGGAUAAGUUUAGGGUGAUAGCAGAAAAAUGUAUUGCUUGGUUUUUG